rnacentral:lncRNA from 1 species
GGCCUCCUUGAGCUGUGGUGGGCUCCACCCAGUUCGAGCUUCCCGGCUGGCUGCUUUGUUUACCUAAGCAAGCCUGGGCAAUGGCGGGCGCCCCUCCCCCAGCCUCGCUGCUGCCUUGCAGUUUGAUCUCAGACUGCUGUGCUAGCAAUCAGCAAGACUCCGUGGGCGUAGGACCCUCCGAGCCAGGUUGCAAGAAAGCUCAAGUAGCCUAUGGAGAGGAUGCAAGGCUUCCAGCUGAUGCCCUCAGCCAGGCUCAGUAGCAGCCAGAACUAGCCUACCAACGAACCUGCUGAUCAUGUGCAUAAGCCACCUUGAACGUCGAUCCUCCUGCCUGGUGGAGCCAUCCCAGCUGAUGCCACAUGAAGCAGACACAAGCUGUCCCUACUAAGCUCUGCUCAAGUUGGAUAUUCAUGAGUGAAAUAAAUGACUGUUACUAAGUAAUUAAUUUUUGGGUGGCUGUUAUGUAGCAGUAGAUAAUUGGAACAAAGCUUAUUGACAUAAUACAUCUAUAUCACAUCCUCCAAUCCAUUUUUUUAAGUAAUAAAGUUGAUGUUUGUUUUGAUUU